rnacentral:rRNA from 1 species
ACAGAGGGGGCAAGCGUUGUUCGGAAUUACUGGGCGUAAAGGGCGCGUAGGCGGCGUGCUAAGUCGAACGUGAAAUCCCCGGGCUCAACCCGGGAACUUCGUCCGAGACUGGCAUGCUUGAAUCCGGGAGAGGGAUGUGGAAUUCCAGGUGUAGCGGUGAAAUGCGUAGAUAUCAGGAGGAACACCUGUGGUGUAGACAGCUUACUGGACCAUGACUGACGCUGAGGCACGAAAGCGUGGGGAGCAAACAGGA